GAACCGUACAAACGUUAUUCGGAAUUACUGGGCUUAAAGGGUGCGUAGGCGGCUUGGCAAGUUGGGUGUGAAAUCCCUCGGCUCAACCGAGGAACGGCGCCCAAAACUGCCAGACUUGAGGGAGACAGAGGUGAGUGGAACUUAGGGUGGAGCGGUGAAAUGCGUUGAUAUCCUAAGGAACACCAGUGGCGAAAGCGACUCACUGGGUCUCUUCUGACGCUGAGGCACGAAAGCUAGGGUAGCGAACGGGAUUAGAUACCCCGGGUAGUCCUAGCUGUAAACGAUGAGCACUGGGUCGGAGAGCCCCCUCCCAUAGCUUUCCGGCCGAAGCGAAAGUGUUAAGUGCUCCGCCUGGGGAGUAUGGUCGCAAGGCUG
rnacentral:rRNA from 1 species